rnacentral:rRNA from 1 species
UACGUAGGUGGCGAGCGUUGUCCGGAAUUACUGGGUGUAAAGGGCGUGUAGGCGGGAAAGCAAGUCAGAUGUGAAAUACCGAGGCUUAACUUCGGGGCUGCAUCUGAAACUGUUUUUCUUGAGUGUCGGAGAGGAAAGUGGAAUUCCCAGUGUAGCGGUGAAAUGCGUAGAUAUUGGGAGGAACACCAGUGGCGAAGGCGACUUUCUGGACGAUAACUGACGCUGAGGCGCGAAAGCGUGGGGAG